rnacentral:rRNA from 1 species
AUGGCAUGCGAGCCGCCGCCGCCGCCGCUGCCGAAGAAGCAGAAAUCCCCAGCGGCCGCGCCGACCACCAUAUGCGCCCUCGGCGACGACCUGCUGCGGGAGAUAUUCCUCCGCCUGCCCUCCCUCCCCACCCUCGUCCGCGCCGCCCUCACCUGCCGCGCCUCUCUCCGCGCCGUCCGCUCAUCCCCCGCCUUCCGCCGCCGCUUCCGCGAGCUCCACUCGGCCCCACUCCUCGGCGUAUUCCUCGACGUCUUCGAGUCCGACACUCCCGCUUUCCGCCCGCUCCGCCUGCAUUCUGACCCGGACCUUGCCGCGGCCGUCCGCGGCGGCGAUUUCCACCUCACCCGACUCCCCGACGAGAUCGAGGGCGUCGCCCCCGAGUGGUUAAUCCAGGACUGCCACGACGGGCGCGUCGUCCUCGCCAGCUACAAAACCGGGCACAUGGCCGUCUACGACCCCCUCACACGAGCCCUGGAUCUCUUCCCCAGGCCGCCCGGCGAGAUCUGCGAAGACAUGUACGUCGAGUACCACGUCCUCCCCUCCGACGAAGAACGCGGCCCGUUCCGCGUCAUCUGCGUCUGCCACGAAGCUUGCGGUGCGCAAGCCGCCGUCCUCUCAUCAGAGACCGGGGAGUGGCAGGUCUUCCCGUUUGUGGAGGCCGCAGCCAUGCAGCCUGGGGACGACAACGAGAAGUGUUCUGGCAACGGGACGCUGGUGAACGGGUCCAUCUAUUGGACAGACGGGAGCCGAGCCCUUGCGCGCGUGCUGAACACCUCGACAUUGCACUUCUCUCGCAUCGACCUGCCUCCGCACAUCGAAGGGCAAGGAGCGCUCACGGCUGGUGAGACCAAGGAUGGGAGGCUCUGCAUCAUCAGCACCGUCAAGCUCACACUUGUGGUUUGGUUCCAGAGAACCGAUGAUGAUGGUGUCGAGAGAUGGACGCAGCACAAGACAUUUCCGUUAGAGCAGGACAUUCAUGCGCACGAUCACUGCUUCGACCAUGAUCACAUUGCGCUGAAGAUUCUGGCGAUUGUCAAUGGCUUUGUGUACUUGUCUACUUACUGUGAGCCGGAUCGCGAUUUGCCUGGUUUGUUCCUGUCCUUCUGCCUAGAAACAGCAAAGCUGAAUAAGCUCUGCACUAUCCUUUACCCUAACAGUUUGUAUCCCUACAUCAUGGCGUGGCCUCCUUCUUUGGUGCUCAACGAGCCCACCAGAAACUACUGA